rnacentral:rRNA from 1 species
UACGGGAGGCAGCAGUGGGGAAUAUUGCACAAUGGGCGAAAGCCUGAUGCAGCUAUGCCGCGUGUAUGAAGAAGGCCUUAGGGUUGUAAAGUACUUUCAUCGGGGAGGAAAAAACAAAACUAAUAAUUUUAUUUCUUGACGUUACCUGAAAAAGAAGCACCGGCUAACUCCGUGCCAGCAGCCGCGGUAAUACGGAGGGUGCUAGCGUUAAUCAGAAUUACUGGGCGUAAAGAGCACGUAGGUGGUUUUUUAAGUCAGAUGUGAAAUCCCUGGGCUUAACCUAGGAACUGCAUUUUGAAACUGAAAUACUAGAGUAUCGUAGAGGGAGGUAGAAUUCUAGGUGUAGCGGUGAAAUGCGUAGAUAUCUGGAGGAAUACCUGUGGCGAAAGCGGCCUCCUAAACGAAUACUGACACUGAGGUGCGAAAGCGUGGGGAGCAAACAGGGAUUAGAUACC